AAAAAGUUCAAAGCAUCAUCCACCAUUCCAUCCUCGCAAAGAAAGGUGAAUGAUCAUGUUAUACAUUUUUGUGUUAGGUCAAUAACCUCCCUCAUCCAUUAUCCUAAGCCACCUCGUAGCCAUUCCAGUAAUACCUUUUGGGAAAGUAGAAGAACCCAUGGGAGCGAUUACAGAAAAGACACCAAUUGUCUCCAUCCUCUUUCUUCCCAGUGGAAUCUCUCUACUUUGUUUCCAGUUUCUAAGACACAAACUGAAGAAUUUC